CUGGAUAAGAUUACACUAAACUGUCGAAAUUGAAUGAAGAGUGGAUGAAUUUGAUUGAAACGAAAGAAAAAUGUAGCCUGUGCCUACCCCUCCGAGAAAGAGGCGUGUUUACGUAUUUGUACGUAUCUGUAUGUGGAAUUGCACAAUCACAAAUUGAAAUAAAUGAACAAAAUUAAAUUUUUUCCGAAACCGAAUUGGAAAGAUGUAUUCGCAUAUGCCCAAGAACCCCUGAAUACAACCCAGUUUGCGGCACAGACAACAAGAGGUACUGGAG